rnacentral:rRNA from 1 species
UACGGGGGGGGCAAGCGUUGUUCGGAAUUACUGGGCGUAAAGGGCUCGUAGGCGGCCAACUAAGUCGGAUGUGAAAUCCCCAGGCUCAACCUGGGAACUGCAUCCGAUACUGGAUGGCUUGAAUUCGGGAGAGGGAUGCAGAAUUCCAGGUGUAGCGGUGAAAUGCGUAGAGAUCUGGAGGAAUACCGGUGGCGAAGGCGGCCCCCUGGACAAAGACUGACGCUCAGGUGCGAAAGCGUGGGGAGCAAACAGG